UACGUAGGCAGCAAGCGUUGUUCGGAGUUACUGGGCGUAAAGGGUGUGUAGGCGGUUGUUUAAGUUUGGUGUGAAAUCUCCCGGCUCAACCGGGAGGGUGCGCCGAAUACUGAAUAACUAGAGUGCGGGAGAGGAAAGUGGAAUUCCUGGUGUAGUGGUGAAAUGCGUAGAUAUCAGGAGGAACACCGGUGGUGUAGACGGCUUUCUGGACCGUAACUGACGCUGAGACACGAAAGCGUGGGUAGCAAACAGG
rnacentral:rRNA from 1 species